UUGAGUCUCUAAUAAUCUCUGUCAGGAGCUGAGCAUUGUUUGUGUGUUGACACUCAAAGAUUCUGCUACAUCUUUCCUUCCACAUCCACCAAAUAGCGCAUCUGAAUAUAACCUUUGUCAAUUGUGUAAGAGGCCCUUUUCUUGAAAAACAUUGCAUGAGGUCAGCUAAUUCUUGAUGCAAGUUUGGUUGCGGCAUUCUAUUAAGUUCGAAUCGCUGGAGAAUCUCCUUCCAUAUCCAUUUAUUAUAGUCACAAGCAAAAUAGAGAUGGUCAAUAGUUUCUUCUUGUUGCAUGCAAAGGGAGCAUCGGUUAACAUGAUGGAU
rnacentral:lncRNA from 1 species